UUCCUGCUCAAUGAAAAUUAAAUAGCCGCAGUACACUGACUGUGCAAAGGUAGCAUAAUCAAUUGGCCUAUAAUUGAGGUCUGGAAUGAAUGGAUUUUUGGGAAAUUACUGUCUCUUUAUAAUUAUCGAAUUUAAUUAUUAAGUGUAAAUGCUUAUAAAUAUAUAAUAGACGAGAAGACCCUAGAAAUUUUUUAUAAGAAAUAUUAUUUUUACUAUUUUGUUGGGGCGACAGAAUUGCAAUUAACCUAUUUAAUUUUAUUAGAAGUUUAUCAGAAUAAUUAAUUACUCUAGGGAUAACAGCAUUAUUAUUUUAUAGAUUGUGACCUCGAUGUUGGAUUAGGGACUUUACUGUUCAGAAGAUAUAUAUGUAGCUCUGUUCGAGCUUUAUACCCU
rnacentral:rRNA from 1 species